rnacentral:rRNA from 1 species
CCUACGGGUGGCAGCAGUAGGGAAUCUUCCACAAUGGGCGAAAGCCUGAUGGAGCAACGCCGCGUGGGUGAAGAAGGUCUUCGGAUCGUAAAACUCUGUUGGCAGAGAAGAAAGGGCGUGAGAGUAAUCGUUCACGUUUCGACGGUAUCUAAACAGAAAGCCACGGCUAACUACGUGCCAGCAGCCGCGGUAAUACGUAGGUGGCAAGCGUUAACCGGAUUUAUUGGGCGUAAAGGGAACGCAGGCGGUCUGUUAAGUCUGAUGUGAAAGCCUUGGGCUUAACGGGGGUAGUGCAUGUGAAACUGGGAGACUUGAGUGCAGAAGAGGAGAGUGGAACUCCAUGUGUAGCGGUGAAAUGCGUAGAUAUAUGGAAGAACACCAGUGGCGAAAGCGACUCUCUGGUAUGUAACUGACGCUGAGGUUCGAAAGCGUGGGUAGCAAACAGGAUUAGAUACCCUAGUAGUC